rnacentral:tRNA from 1 species
UCUGGCUCCACCAGAUGGUUUGAUCAUCGACUGAUCGUGCACCUAAAUCGUCCGCGAAACAUCACUUCGCAUCUUGC